rnacentral:lncRNA from 1 species
UGGGAUUGAGCAAAACUUAUCUUUCCCAACUUUCCUCCUAAUUUAUCGCUUACCAAUAACCCAUUUCUUCCAUUAUUCUCCAAUUUCUCCCAUUUCUCAAUUUGCUCCAAUUUCUUCCUCCGAAUCAUGCAUCUGUAGGGGCGCAGCGUCUCCGAUCUCGAUUCAGGAGCCAACAAUUUGGGGUUGUACUCGCACGACGUCGUAUGAAGGGGUUGAUGGAGUGGAUGCCGCGAACGCAGGCGGCGUCAGCCUUCGGUUGGCCCCAAUUCACGAGCGACAACCCUACCGGAAUUUCAGAGGUGGCGGACGGCGACCACUGCCCGAUUUUGAGAAUUUGUUGCAAGUGAGGAAGGAGUGUGUGUGUUCAACCAUGACUUUGAGAAGAUGGAGGGCAUGGAACGGCAGCCAAUCGCCGGUCUUCUAGAGGCGGCGAUUGGACUGGCUGUAGACGGAGUUCUCGAUCGAACUGGUUGUGGACGGAGUUUUCGUCAAAUUGAAUGAGCAAUUUUAGAAUUUUGGGGACAUUCAUGCGUCCAGUAAAUCUGAAUAUAUCUGUUCAUUUAGAUAUUGUGUUCU